AGCUUUGCACAGUGGCAGUAUCGUAGCCAAUGAGGUUUAUCCGAGGCGCGAUUAUUGCUAAUUGAAAGAAGCAGGGUAGGAUUAGGAUGCUUCCACGGUGGCCUCAGUUAUAACUGUAACGCUGUGAUGUGU
rnacentral:snRNA from 1 species